UAAGUGUUCACUGUUCAGUAGUAGGUACUAUACCGCGAUAGAUGUUGGUACUAUUAAUAUAUUGUUAUUUUUCAAUUAUAUCAUUGAUAAUUAAAGUCGUUAUUCUUAAAAAUGCAUUACUCGUCCGUGAUUUUCUCGUUUAUUAUGUUAUAAUAUCUUAUAAUCAAUGUGAAUACAUCGAAUUUAAAUUUGUUGAGGCUGAAUAUUAUUUACUCUGUAAAUUAAAAAAUAUUCGAUGUCUGUAAAGCAUUGAGGAUUUAUAGACAUUGCCAAAAGAAAACGUUGCCACGAGAGACGACAAUUUCAAAUUUUUCGAAUUUCACCAAUGCCGAAACGAAAUAUUUAUGAUUAUUAAUUAUAUAUAGGAGAACAACUAUAUUCAGCGAUUUCGAGCCACUUGUUAAACGGUCGUGACGACUACCGUACCAUCAAAUUUACC